UAUCUGCUGAACUUGAGAGGCUGAUGGAAAUGGAUGUGACUGAGAGGAUCGAUGCAUCUCCACGGGUGUUCAUCGGGCAGAAGAGAGCAGGAACACAGCUGCAUUCAUAACACAUGAAGGACUAUUCAGGUUCCACUGGGUUCCAUAUGGACUGUGUACAGCUCCAAGACCUCAAGGGGGUCCAGAACUAUCUGGAUGAAGUCAUAGUCUAUGGCAGGGACGAGCAAGAACAUGACUACAAUCUGCUGGUGGUCAAGACUGAAACGGUGUCAUUUCAACCAGAAAAGCCCGACACUUCCUGAGACACCACAUUUCAGCCUGAGGUUUGCUGCCAAAUAAGGAUCACCUUAGAACUAUCACAGUAGCUCCAGCACCUAGCGACGCCACCACUCUACGCUCCCUCCUAGGACAGCCCGUGGCCAAGUGGAAAGGGAACUUGGCUUGUAACCGGAAGUUUGCCGGUUCCCCAUCGCUCCCCGGAUGCUACUCAGUGUGGCAGCCCACUGCUCCUAAUUCUAGGAUGGGUCAAAAUGCAGAGAAUAAUUUGGUGCAUAAUAAUAUUAUAGAGCUUGAACUGGUGGAUCCAGAUCAGUGAAGGACUUCACUGUGGCAUGUGAGCUGUGUCCAUACAAAAAAGGGAUGGUCUAGAACAGCAAAGUCCAAAGUCCUGUCGUGCUCAAGCCUUUCGUUGAUGUCAGAGACAAACUCUCGGUCCAAGACGUGAUCGUGUACCGGGGCCCUUAGCGACAGCUAGUCCCGGUGGCCCAAAGAAAGCAGCUUGUUGACCUGGCACAUCAAACCCACCAGGACGUCAUCCGCACUAAACAGAGGCUGCGGGACGUCUACUGGUCGCCAAGCAUGGCCAUGUGUGUGCAGGAGAGCAUCAGUGACAUGCCAGAUGAAUGGGAUUAAGUGCCAAAAACCCAUGCUGCACCACCUUCUGCCAGUUCCGCUGCCGGCAGGAGGUGGGUAUUGACAUCGUAGGACCAUUUGAAUCAGCACCCUGGGACGGCCGCUCUGCAGUGACACUGACAGACUGUGAUGCAGAUGCAGAGGCUGGUGCGAGUACCUACAUGCUGGAAGAUGGACGUACAUGGAUUGCCUGUCACUGCUCUCUGGUUCCAGAAAGAGCAAAGAACAUUAUCACUGGUGCUGCUGCUCCAGUCCCUGAGCCAGAGCCACUGGACGAUCACAUGAUCAGAACCACUAGGGUCAGAAACUAUGAUCAUUAAUCCUUUUCUCAAGGCCUUUGGGGGACAAAUAUUUAAGAGACAUAAAAAAAAAAAGGUAGAGAAGGUUUUAUUUUGCACUAUUUUACAGUCUUAUUUGAUUGGAGAUAUUGUGUUUUUUUAGUUACCAAUACUUUUGAAAACAUGUUGUCUAUACACUUACUACUCCACAGCGCUAGGUGUCGCUGUAGACCAUUAGUUGGGGUCUGGGUGGUGCUAUAAAAUAUAAAUCUGCCUCUCCUUAAGAAAGCAGUGCAUCACAUGAAAAUAAAAGUCACAUGUGUGUUUGGAACA